GUCUUGGUGGCUCAGUUGGUUAGAGCGUUGGUCUCAUAUGUCUAUGACUCGGUCCUCCAGGUUCGAGAUAUCCAAAGGUCGUGAGUUCGAGUCUCUCCCAGGACA
rfam:Pseudomassariella vexata strain CBS 129021 BCR38scaffold_5, whole genome shotgun sequence.